UUGCUUUGAUUGGCUCUUGCUUGGGCUACUUCCUGAAUAAACAAAAACCGUGGAGCACAGCUGGGCAGGUUGUAGCCCAAAGCUGAACUGUAGAAGAAGCUGUUUAAAGAUACCUCAGUGGGAUUCCAAAAUCCACCACUGUCAUUGUGUGUCCAUGACAGAACGUCUUGAUGUAAUCUGCACAACAGAGCUGCUGUGUGAGGGGAGAUUUCAGACAGGAAGAGAAAAAGUGAAACUGAAAGUAGAUUUAAAAGUUCUUGGGAGGAUUCACACUGACAAAAAUAUUAUCCGUUCAUGCAGAAGGAUUAUGGAAAAGGCAUAUGAAAUUCUCUCAGAUAAUACUGUGAGUGUAAAUAUCAAAGAUGAAUCAGAGUGCUUCAUUUGCCGAGAUGUGGGCCUGGUUGGUGGGGAUCCACUGAAAACCUUCUGUGACUGUAAGAACCUAAUGGCUCACCACAGCUGCCUGCUCACCUGGAUCAGAAAGGGUCUGAGACGGGACAAGAGACUGAGAUGUACUGUUUGCAAUGCAGAGUAUCAGCUGCAAAGAUGUGCACCCUGGCGGACCGUGGCCUCUCAGUGGCACACCUGGCCCAUUCUAGCCAUCGCUGUUCUCCUGUUGGCUCUGGUGCCAUACGUGGUGUACCGAAUGAUGACUGCUUUUGACAAUCCCCCUCCACACACACUCUUCAAGACAGCCGCAAUCUGCUUUGGCCUGAUUAGUGAAGCCCUGUUAAUCAAGGGCGUGUGUAGUUACUGUAGCCACCGAUUACAGAAGGCAGAGCAAAGCUCCUUCAGCCUCCAGCCUCGAACAUCUGAGGAGCAUGAAGUCCACACCAAUCUGAGGCAGUGCACCACAGCAGGGCUCAAAGGUCAAGACUCACAGCCAGUGGCAGGAGAGAGGAAGUACUUCAUGUAAGCUCUGAGGGAAGAGGAUCAGGGCCGGCGCUGUUCUGUUUGACUAGAGGGAAUAAAAUAUGUGGUGAAGGAGGGAAAAAACAGGCAGACUUAUUUAAAGUGAUCAUGUCAUGCAUUUUUUUUUUCUUUUUUUCUUUAUUUUUCCUUGAGAUAUACUUAUAAUGUUAGGACAGUUUUUGCAAAAAAAACAAAAAACAAAAAAAAAAUCAUAAUAUAGUAUUAAGUGACCAUUUUCCACCCUGUCUCUGGCCCCCUGUCUGAAACACUCUGUUUCUGUGCACUACCCCUUCAAGGCCACGUCCACACUAAUACGUUUCCGUUUGAUAACACAACUUUUUCUCAAGGUUUUGGCUGUCCAUCCACACUGCGAUGGCAUUUUUGUCCAGUGAAAACUGAGCUUUUCGAAAACGCUCUCCCAAGUGGAUUAAUUUGAAAAAGCUGUUGAAAUGUGACCAAGAAAGACAGAGAUAUCUGAUAUCUGUAGCAGCUUUGUUGUGCCUGCUAUCCACUUUAAUAGCAUUGUUAAAUAUAAUUGUUACUUUGUACCAACUUUAACAUUGCAUUCCUUCAAAGGUGAUGAGAAUUUUACUCAGAAUUGCUGUCUGGUGGCGGAACACGAAGAUAGAUGAGUUUCAGACCUUACAUGGAACAUCUAUUUUUUGCAUGCGAUGUAAGGGGAUUUAAGCAUUUUCACAGGUUUCAGUGUGGAUGAGCAACUUUUGGAAAACGUUUGAUAACGGCAAUGUGGACGGAGAGCUUUUUGAAAACGAAAAACACAGUUUUCAAAUGUUUAAAUGAUUAAAUGUGGAUGUAGCCUAAGGCUUCAAAAUACACGCCCACUGUGUUAUGAUUGGCUAACACCUUUGCAGCACAAACACCCCCUGCCAAAACAAUAGUGGAACUGCUUUUUACAAAAAUGAAAGAACUCUAAAAGCACUCAGUUCAGGCAGUCAUUAAUAGGUAUAUGUCCCAAUUUAUGUGAAGGAUACAGUCAAACUACAGAACUACAGUUGUUCGACUAAAAUAACAAGAACAAGCUGGCAUACUGUUACAUCCCAGUACUUGCAUACAUACAAUUUUGGUGAUAAAAUAAUGCAAUAUAAGCUGACAACAGUGUAAAUAGUCCAAACUAACACAAGCUGUGAAUGUGAAGGGUAAAUAAAUCUGUAUCCAGCUGUAGGUUGAGUUAUAAGGUAUCUUCUCCGCUGGGCUUCAAAUCUGUUGUGUGGCCACUUCAAUACGCAUCUUUUGUAGGUAAAUAUGGUAUGUUCGCUGGGUGGGGAGUCUUCUUCAAUCAUUGAAAUAGUCGACCAGGACAGGAGAUCCCCCUCGACUGUUUCACUGCGGGACAAUGGGCAUCCCGAUGCAUUCAUUCCAGCCAAAGUAUGGGACAUCCUGUCUAAGAUGAGUCAGUUGAGACAGCUGGCAAGCUUACUAGCAUAUGCUAAACCACUGUCUUUUGUUGCACUCUGUGCUACGCUUUUGUCUUACAUACUAAAAUGACUGAGGGCUCUGUUUUUAUGAGUGUGCAAAGCGCAGCGCUAUGUGCUACGACCGUGCACAACGUCUUUUUCUAAUUUUCGUGAGAGCGCUAAUUCUGAGUGAAAUUUUUGUGCCAGCGCAAAGCACAAAUGGGUGUGGAUGGGAGUGUUUGCCCUAUUGUGGGUUUAGGUGCGCAAACUCUGUGUGUAUUGUAUGUAAAUGAAGUGGCACAAAGCACAAUUUGAUAUUUUCCUGAGAAAUAGAUCAUUGCGCUAAUACGUUUCAAUGCCACCUCUUAACUCAGCGCUAAGUUCAAAUUCAGUUCCUGCAUUGCAGUUUGGAGAUUCCACCAGCAAGAGGUAAUAAAGCUCAUGUCCAAAUUCUGAAAGAAUAGAACAUUAAAUAAUGUCCCUGAUAAUCGCAGUUUUUCAGAGGUAAUAGCUUGAGUCAAAUAAUGUCCCUGAUAAUCGCAGUUUUUCAGAGGUAAUAGCUUGAGAUUUGUAUUAAACUUUCUAGAGGUCAUGGUUUAUUUUUUUUUCAAUUAUUUGUAAUAUUAUUUUUUAUUGUUAUUUGUAUAUGUAUUAUUAUUAUUGUAUAUUUAUAAUUAAAUUUAUGAUUUAAUUUGUAGCUGUGGUGAUGGGGGAGUGGUCUUGUGUCUGUUUGCAGGAGAGAGGAAGUGGUGUGGCUCGUCAAGCUGGUUGACAUGAUUUCUAGCAGAUGUUUCUCAUUACAGUGAUAGCAGAAAGAUGCCUUAAAACAGCUUAACACUCCAGAAGAGAGAGAGAGAGAGAAUGAGAGUGCAGCAUUGUCAAACUGUUUACGUUACGUGUUGAAGCUAUUGAGUGUUUGUGAAGAAGUUUAUGUUUAUUUUUGAGAGUGAAUUAUUGAACUGAGUGAAAAACCCAAAAGAGUGUAUCUGCUGCACAGAAGGCAAGAGAAUAAAAGCCUUACCUGAAGUGUGUCACUGCUCUCCGUCUCCUCAUUUUGACGAGGGCUAGACAGCCAGGGUAGGCUUCGGGGCUGUAGCAGCAACCCCCUCGUGUCUGAUCAGGCUCCGGAACGCCUUCAGUCCUCCGCUUGGGCCUGGAACAGGAGUUGAAAACGCUGCUCCAGCUGCAGCUUGAUGAGGGCCUGAUGCUGGUUCUACUGGAUGCCAGCAAGGGUCUUGAUCACCUCACCCAGUGGUGAGGACUCCAUGAUGUCGUGUCUCCUUGGAUCCCGGGUUUCGGCACCAGUGUAACAAAACCUUCAGGUUCAGGUAUGGAAAAUGAGGAGACGGGAAGCAGUGACACGUUUCAGCUGUUUUAAGGUGUCUCUCCACUACCACUGUAAUGAGAAACAGCUGUUUGAAAUCAUGUCAACCAACUUGACGAGCCACACCACUCCCUCUUUCCUCACAUGUGCAGACACACGACCACGCCCCCAUCACCACAGUAGCCUAGUAGUAAUUUUCCACCUGUUGUAGAGAUUGAUUUUUAAGUCACUGCAAAAGGGGCUGGAGGAAGAAGGAGAGACUAAAAUGUUUGGAUUGGGUAUGAUUUUUGUAUGAUUAUAUUUUAAAUUCCUUUAAAGUGUCAUUUGAAUUUAGAAAUAUUUUUGGUUAGGGGGACCUGGGUAGCUCAGUGAGUAAAGACGCUGACUACCACCCCUGGAGUUCGCGAGUUCAAAUCCCAGGGCAUGCUGAGUGACUCCAGCCAGGUCUCCUAAGCAACCAAAUUGGCCUGGUUGCUAGGGAGGGUAGAGUCACUAUAGUCAUGGGGUAACCUCCUCAUGGUUGCUAUAAUGUGGUUGCUCUCAGUGGGGCACGUGGUGAGUUGUGUGUGGAUGUUGCGGUGGAUGGCGUGAAGCCUCCACAUGUGCAAUGUCUCCGUGCAUCUUAUCACAUGGCUUGUUGAGUGCGUACUCAACAAGCCACAUGAUAAGAUGCGGAGACUGACGGUCACUAUGCAACCAUGAGGACUUAGAGUGCAUUGGGAAUUGGGCAUUCCAAAUUGGGGAGAAAAAGGGGGAAAAAAAUAAAUAAAAAUAUAAAUAUUUUUGGAUUAUUUUUUUCAUGUUUGAAUACAUAAUGUUUUUUUUUAUUUUUUAUUUUUUUAUCAAAAGUGAAGUGAAGUGCAUGCCGAUACAAUCGCUGUUAAUACUAGCCAUGAUUUGUGUGUCCGUAGAUGAACAUGAUUAAUAAUACUUGCAUUCCCAAUAAUUUAGCUGAGCGUACAUCUAAAUUCAGAAGAGAAUUGCAUUUUCUAUGAGUAUUAAAGGAGCAUGUCACUGUCAUAGAUAUAUGCCUGGCAUGCCUGAGUCAGUCCACUCUAGCCUUCUCCCAUUCCAUCCAUCACAACCACUUCCGGGGCUGGGAGAGUGGAAGGGCUAGGUUUUUAGAACCUUCUAUGCUCCUCUUAUUAUAUGCUUCUAUGAAGAUACAAACUCAGAAUCCCAUCUUGCAUUGCAACGAAAAUAUAGUGGCGUGCAUAGCUGGCAAGCCAAUCGUGAUCGCAUCUUAUCUAUCAUAAUCAAUCAUUAUAAACAUCUAAAAACCACAUUAUAUGUUUGAUAAUAUACAAUCUGACCUUCAGUGCACCUGCUGUGACAUAAUUUGUCAUCCAUCUGCUGUGAAGUGUGAGGUAACAUUUAUUUUAAUUACAGUGCACAUUAAAGAACUCACGCUGGGAGAUCCGUUAGUACAGCAGAAACUCACGUGAGAAAAGGUUAAAUGUAGGCAUUGUUGUCUUGCUGUAGAGGCAGUUAUGUGCUGAUGUAUUCAUCCGUGUGACAUCACAAAGUAGGGAAAAUCCAAACUAGCUGUUUUUGAAGCUUGGUUUUUGCAUUGGUGAGGAAGUUUUGAGCUCUGAAACUUGCAGUUUGUUUUUAUAGUUAAAUGACCUCUUAUGUCAGAAGAUCAAGGACAUUUUUAUUCCUUAUAUCAUGACCCCUUUAAUGUUAGAGCUCUCACCUGCACCUGUACCUUUCAGUAGAUGAAACUCAAAUGGAUGAUGCCGCUCUGUUCUCCUACACAUGGACAGGGAAGAAAUGGGUGGAAAAUGAAUAGAUGCUUUAUUGCUCUUUCUGCACAGUGAUGAUAAUGUUAUGAUAAAUGCGUUUAAUCAGUACAGUUAAGUUGAUACAGAGUUUUAUUGCUUUACUUUAUCAAUAUCCUCAAGCUCUUUUGCCAUUUUAUAGUUUAACAUAAUUCAUUGCACAUGUCACUUUUUAUUGGUCCGAUUUUUCAAGGGAUUCGCAGAACUUCUAAGACCACUUAUUGAGGACUUUCAGAAAAACUGAUGCAAUUCAAAUGUCAAAGGAUUAUACACUCUGUAGAAAUUUUACUUUUAUGAUUUUUACACCUUUUAAGGAAUAAAUGCCUUGCUUGACUUUUUUUUUAAAGGUAUAUAUAUAUAUAUAUAUAUAUAUAUAUAUAUAUAAACUUUGAUCUUCACAGAAAAGAAAAUUCAAAUUAUCACACAAUCCAAUAAGAUUUAUAAUACAGAUUUAAUUGCAGGAUUUAAUUAUCCUCAUUUUAAAUUGUAUUUUGUGUAUCAUGUUUUAAAUAAAGUGAUUUUUUAAUAAUCCUUGCAGCACUGAAUAAUGUUAUAAUACUUUAACAACAUGACUAACUCAGACUGAACGGUUCUGUUGUGGCUUACUACAGUUCCAGUCUAUGUUCUCACUGCAGAGUUCUAACACACUUGUUUUCUUCACAUACUGUAUGGUUUAUGGUAUUUGCUUUACUUUGUGUGUAAUCAUGCAUACAUAUGCAAAUGUAGCUAGGUCAAUAUUUUGCCUAAUUAUGUUAAUGUUCAUUGUUGGUUUUAUUUUAUUUUAUUGUUUGUUUUAUUUCCACAAACGGCUAUGAGUUAAAGCAGUCAUUUCAUAUAGUACAAACUUUGCUCAGAAGUGUACAUGGUUAAUUAUGUUCAGCAGGAACUAAAGCAUGUAAACAGAUUUUUCCCAGUAGGGCACAUUUUUGCGGCACACACUAUGUACUUACUUCAACGCGAUAGUUGCGUCAUCCUUAGAAGCACGUUGACGGCUGAUGGGGUCAGAUGCAUUUUUCUUUGCUCUUUCCACAGGAAUGCUGAGUGAAGGGGAGGGACAAGUGUGCCAUAUAACAUGCUGAAAAUGCUCUAUGUCUCUACAGGAAUAAAAAGCACCUAGAUCUCAUUCUUCAGUAUCUGUCCAUGCUAGGUUAUGCAAGUCAGUCCACACAACCAGAGUAAAACUGCUACACAAAUAUGUAUAGGCAUAUCUGUAAUUUUGUCUUGUUGUGGAUGUAGUCUUUCAUCUCUCAUCCAACAUCUUACAGAGGUCAGGAAAUGCCACAGCAGACACACCAACAUCAGUGUGGUCUCCAGUCCACCCAUGCCUGCAUGCAUGUGUGCUCUCAGGGCUUAGUGUGCACGUACAGGGCCAGAUGGGCACUUUCAUGAGUGUGUGAGCGUGGAUUACUCUUCCUGCUACAUCUGGGUCUCCACAUGUCACAGCACACUACGGCAGGAGAGAGAGGCAGGCGGGCGGGUGAUGCCACCCCCUCUUUGAAGGAUGCCUAUCUGACAGCCGUGUUCUCCAGAAGGGCACUGGAACAAAUGCCAAGUGAAAAGGUCACAUGCCCCAGCUACAGCAGCAGGACCAUUGCAUAGCACUCUGCCAUUUAGAUAACCUACAUCUUUUAUAGUAAGUAAAACAGUUAAGCCUUUGACUUCCUGGAUGUUCUCAGAUGUAGCAACAGUAUUUUCAGGUUUCUGUAGAACUCUUGUUAAACUCUUAUUAAAGGAAUAUUUCAUCCAAUAACAAAAAUUAUGUCAUUAUUUACUCACCCUUAUGUUAUUCCAACCUAAAUGACUUUCUUCCUAAUUGCUCUUCCAUGCAGUUACAAUGAAUAUGGACUGGAGCCUUCAAGUUUAAAAUAUGUGCUAAAGCAAAAUUAAAGUAUCAUAAAAGUGGUCUAUUGCGUUGUGUGAAAAACACACCCAAAUUUGUGUUUAUUCGCUGCUAAUAUUCCCCUGGAACUGGACAUCUGGAUCAUUUAGACCAGUUUUGUGAACCGGAUAACCCAUUUCAUAAAAAAAAAAAAAAAAAAAAAAAAAAACACCUCAAAAGAGUUCAUUCAUAAAUAGGAUAUCAUUAGGGAGAGCUAGGGGGUGGUUAAGAUUUUCAGUGGAUAAUGACUUUAAUUUCUGUUACUUACACAAUUUUCUGGCUUUAGAAGACUUACAUUGCAAUAGAAUAUAGCACAUAAGUCGUUUAGACAUUUAUGAUAUACUUUUAUGAUGUUUAUGCAUAAUUUUUUAAGCUUGAAAGGUCCAGUCCUUGAUCAUUGGAAUUGCAUGGAAAAAACAACCAAUACUUUCUACGAAAUCUCUGUUUUUGUAUUUAUAGGGGUUUGAAAUGAUAUGAGGGUGAGUAAAUGGUGACAUAAUUUUCAUUUUUAGGUGAACAGUUUAAUUCUUGAGACUACAGGCACUUUCCUCUGUUUAAUGCUCUGAAGUUCUUUUAGUGAGUUAUUAGAACAUAAUGUGUGAUCUGGCUUCUAAAACAAAACAUUGCCUUUAAUGACUCACACCAUAUAUUUUAAUUCUGUGCAAUCAUCUAAAUAAAAACAUCUAAAUAUGGCUCUGGUGAAGUAUGAACUACAACAGAUAAUGUGAUUUGCAGGAAUUGUAAUUAGAUAGAAAAUGUGCAACGUACAGCUUGUUUGUGUUCUGUGGGAUGACCUGCAUUGUCCUUCCCCUCCAUUACUGGUGAGAUAAACUGGUCAUGUGGCUCAAGUGCUUUUCAGUUUCCAUGGAGCACAGACUCUCCUCUUUCCUUUUGGAAAUGUUACAAAAAUGCUCUCACCAUUCAACUGCAGGUCAAAUAUGUAAUCUGCUUGGGUCUUGGAUGGUUUCAGACAUCAUAACUAGCUGUUAACCCACAGAUGACAAUCUCUUGCACGAUGAACAGUGUAGCUCUUGUUUUUUCUUCCUUUUUAUUUUAUCAUUCAUGUCUCCUCAAUCAAAUCAAACUUAAGAACUGAAUAUAGUUGUGUAAUAAUGUGUUAAUUAAUUAGGCCUAUGUGAUUACUUAUUUGAAAAAAGUAUGAUACUUUUAAAGAUAACUCAGUUUGCCCAGAAUUUUCUGGAAACACUGCACAUCAUUUGUGUCACCCACAACAAACUUAUUAACAAACACAAUUAAACAAUUCUGAAUGGAUUUUUAUUCAGUAGGCUACUGAAACGAAUUGAGAGGACAUAGUGUCCUCUAUUUAAAAUGUAAUAUUGCAUUAUUUUACUGAAUAUUUUGGCUGAAUAUGUUUUUGUAUGCAUUCAGUCAUCAAUUCAUUAGCCUAGCCACACGCUGAUGUUAGCUAAUGUUAACACUAGGGCUGUCGAUUUAACAUGUUAACCCUUGUUUGUAGCUUUGCGGUCAAAAAUGACCCCUUUUGAACUUUGCUUCCUUAAAAACAUGGUUUCCUUCAUCUCAGUGGCAUGAGAUUUGGUGACAUUUCCUAUAUUUGUUGUCUAUACACACACACACAAAAAGAAAAAGAAAAGAAAAUGGGCUGGAUGAAGUUGUGUGGUGGUGUGACAAAAAAACUCACACUUGUGAUGUUCGAGGUCAGAUUUGACCUCACAUAGGAAAUGAAUGGGUGAGAAGA